UACAGAGGGGGCAAGCGUUGUUCGGAAUUAUUGGGCGUAAAGGGCGCGUAGGCGGCCUGGCAAGUGGAAGGUGAAAUCCCUCGGCUUAACCGAGGAACUGCCCUCCAAACUGCUUGGCUUGAGUCCGGGAGAGGUGAGUGGAAUUCCCAGUGUAGCGGUGAAAUGCGUAGAUAUUGGGAAGAACACCAGUGGCGUAGGCGACUAACUGGGCCAUAACUGACGCUGAGGAACGAAAGCCAGGGGAGCGAAUGGG
rnacentral:rRNA from 1 species